rnacentral:rRNA from 1 species
AGUCAAUAGAUACCCGGGUAGUCCACGCCGUAAACGAUGUCGACUUGGAGGUUGUGCCCUUGAGGCGUGGCUUCCGGAGCUAAACGCGUUAAGUCGACCGCCUGGGGAGUACGGCCGCAAGGUUAAAACUCAAAUGAAUUGACGGGGGCCCGCACAAGCGGUGGAGCAUGUGGUUUAAUUCGAUGCAACGCGAAGGACCUUACCUACUCUUGACAUCCAGAGAACUUAGCAGAGAUGCUUUGGUGCCUUCGGGAACUCUGAGACAGGUGCUGCAUGGCUGUCGUCAGCUCGUGUUGUGAAAUGUUGGGUUAAGUCCCGCAACGAGCGCAACCCUUAUCCUUUGUUGCCAGCGGUUAGGCCGGGAACUCAAAGGAGACUGCCAGUGAUAAACUGGAGGAAGGUGGGGAUGACGUCAAGUCAUCAUGGCCCUUACGAGUAGGGCUACACACGUGCUACAAUGGCGCAUACAAAGAGAAGCGACCUCGCGAGAGCAAGCGGACCUCAUAAAGUGCGUCGUAGUCCGG